AACCACGGGGUUUAUAAUAAUUCCCCGCUUUCGUCUUUUAUCUCUCUCUUGUCAAAAACAAGAAAAAGUAUGUUCUGGAAACACAAAAACGAAAACAAAAAUACAGCUACGUACUCGCACACACACACAGACCACACGCACGAGUCAACAAGUUGAAACUCUCCCUCCAAAAAAAACAAAGCUCACACGUCUGAAACUUCUCUCUUAUAAAAAAGCAUCCCCUUCAUUUAUCCUUCAUCGACUUCUCAUCUCUCUCUCUCUCUCUAAAUAUCAUUUCUUUUUGUUUUCUCAUUAUGCCACAAGUAGAUCUUGAAACCCUAGUCUCAGCCUGCGCCGGUGUCUCUUGCGAUAAAAAGAUCGCCUGCGAAACCCUGGCCAACGCCAUCAACAAAAACCCCAACCACGCCAUCGAGACUAACGACAAGAACCCAAAUCAAGAACAUCAUCAUCCUCAUCACGAUGCUGAUGAUCAUCAGGAACCGGAGAUUCCGCCUGACUUGCCGCCAGAUUCCUUUUGGCUGUCGAAGGACGCGGAGUUUGACUGGUUUGACCGCAACGCAUUCUACGAGCGUAAGGAGUCGCAAAAGGGCCACUCCCACUCCAACCCGAUUGGCCUGAACCCGAAUCCGAGUUCGACUUCUCAGAGGUUUUCCACUCCGACGACGACGACUUUGAAGACCAAGACUUCGAUCAUUGGCCUGCCCAAGCCGCAGCAGAAGUUUGACCCCAAGUGUAAGAGACACUGUAAAACCAACACCAACUGGUUCCCCAAGCGAUCCGGCUCGGUUGGCAAAUCGGAUGGUCCCUUGUGCGAACCCUCUUCUCCCAAGGUUUCUUGUAUCGGUCGGGUCAGAUCCAAGAGGGAUCGGCGGAGAUUGAAGAAGCGACA
rnacentral:lncRNA from 1 species